GGGGAUGGAGCUCAGUGGCACAGCACGUGCCUGGCAAGCACAAGGUCCUGAGUUCAAUCCCUGGAGCCCCA
rnacentral:tRNA from 1 species